rnacentral:rRNA from 1 species
CAUGCAAGUCGAACGGUAACAGGAAGCAGCUUGCUGCUUYGCUGACGAGUGGCGGACGGGUGAGUAAUGUCUGGGAAACUGCCUGAUGGAGGGGGAUAACUACUGGAAACGGUGGCUAAUACCGCAUAACGUCGCAAGACCAAAGAGGGGGACCUUCGGGCCUCUUGCCAUCAGAUGUGCCCAGAUGGGAUUAGCUUGUUGGUGAGGUAACGGCUCACCAAGGCGACGAUCCCUAGCUGGUCUGAGAGGAUGACCAGCCACACUGGAACUGAGACACGGUCCAGACUCCUACGGGAGGCAGCAGUGGGGAAUAUUGCACAAUGGGCGCAAGCCUGAUGCAGCCAUGCCGCGUGUAUGAAGAAGGCCUUCGGGUUGUAAAGUACUUUCAGCGGGGAGGAAGGUGUUG